rnacentral:rRNA from 1 species
CCUACGGGAGGCAGCAGUGGGGAAUAUUGCACAAUGGGCGCAAGCCUGAUGCAGCCAUGCCGCGUGUGUGAAGAAGGCCUUCGGGUUGUAAAGCACUUUCAGCGGGGAGGAAGGCGUUAAGGUUAAUAACCUUGUCGAUUGACGUUACCCGCAGAAGAAGCACCGGCUAACUCCGUGCCAGCAGCCGCGGUAAUACGGAGGGUGCAAGCGUUAACCGGAAUUACUGGGCGUAAAGCGCACGCAGGCGGUCUGUCAAGUCGGAUGUGAAAUCCCCGGGCUCAACCUGGGAACUGCAUUCGAAACUGGCAGGCUAGAGUCUUGUAGAGGGGGGUAGAAUUCCAGGUGUAGCGGUGAAAUGCGUAGAGAUCUGGAGGAAUACCGGUGGCGAAGGCGGCCCCCUGGACAAAGACUGACGCUCAGGUGCGAAAGCGUGGGGAGCAAACAGGAUUAGAUACCCGAGUAGUC